rnacentral:tRNA from 1 species
UCGAAUAUGGUGUAACGGUUAACAUUGCCGCCUCUCAUCGAGAGUAUCGCGGUAGCUCGGGGUUCGAUUCCCCGUAUCCGAA